rnacentral:rRNA from 1 species
UACGAAGGGGGCGAGCGUUGUUCGGAUUUACUGGGCGUAAAGGGCGCGCAGGCGGCGGAUCAAGUCAGACGUGAAAGCCCCGGGCUUAACCUGGGAACUGCGUUUGGGACUGAUUUGCUAGAGAUCGGGAGAUGAGAGUGGAAUUCCCAGUGUAGAGGUGAAAUUCGUAGAUAUUGGGAAGAACACCGGUGGCGAAGGCGGGUCUCUGGGCAAUUCCUGACGCUGAGGCGCGAAAGCGUGGGGAGCAAACGGG